AGACUUAAGAUAUCAUAUAUCUGAACAUUUCUAAUAAAGUUACUUUAACACACUACGGUGUGUAAUAAAGACUACCUGAUAAAUUAAUUCAUUUAUCUAAAAACGUAUUUAUUUCAGAAUGAGUCUAAUGGUACUAGCAUACAAACGAUGGUUGAUUGUCCCUUACUUAUUUAUUGUAUUCUGUGUUUGGAUAAUGUACAUGAAGUUUGGAAAAGAUCAUUCGGAUGUUGUUAUACCUGGUAAUAAAACAGGACCACAUUGAAAAAGGCAAACGGUAGGAGAAAACUGAAUGAACGGAAAACUCAGCUACGUAAACAAAGAAAGGGAACGAAAGGAUCAUCUAGAGAGAUCUUUCCUUGGAUGAAGCAAUUGUUUUGCCAAAAUAAGAAAUUGCUAAAUGCAUGGUUCACUGAUUUUGCAAAAAAGAAAAACAACAAACGAAGAUUUACAUAUGCAAAUGUUAGCUGCAUGAUACCCUGUCUCAGUCAUCUAAUGCGUAUAUGAUUUAGAGAGAGAGAGAAAAAUCGAACUAAUAGAAUUGAUCCUGCAUGUACGACAGUGAGAAUAAAAUUUAUGUUCACUUUAUUUACUGGUCGAAAAUCCUCUUUGUACAUGAGUGAGAUUUUAAGCCGACGUUGGAUGAUAUUGCCAUUUCUGUUCCUGAUAUUGUUUGUGUGGCUGGCGUACAUGUAUUUCGGAAAGGAAAGGGGGCAAAACGAAUUGUCAGCUACCGAGAAUCCUUUCAAGCCUUUAAUUGAUUUUUUUAAGAAGCUUUAUAAAGGUUUAGCUUAAUGGCAUUUCAAAAUGAUCAUCGCCUUGACAAUUUUAAAAUUGAAACACAUGCUCGGACAACAUAGCUUACAUAUGAGGUUCUCAUUGAGACAAACUAUGCAGGAACUUAGAAGGGAUUUGCACUUGGCAAUUCAGUGGACUUAUGUUUACCAAAAGCGGAAGUCGUCUCUUUCACCGAGAAGAAGAUGGAAACAAUUAUAUAUAUAUUUAUUUUUAUACAACCAUGAGUAUACCGUGUUUGCCCCUCCACACUGAGGAGAGUUCAAGUGCUACCAUUGGUCAACAAUAAUGUAUGACUUUAAUCAAUCGAUAGAUGGCGCAACAUUGUUCUCACAAAUGUUGGCUUAACCUGCCAAGGGUGGGGUUAAGGGCAGUGGAUCGUUACCAAUUUCUAGCGAAGAUGACAAACGUGACAAUUGCAAUUAUUGAUAAUAAUUUAAUGCAUUUUUUUUCUGUAUAUUUUGAUUACUUAUGAAAUUAAGUAUUUAUACAAAUAAAACAAUACCUUUUAAUAAAAGACAGUGACGUCAAAUAAUGUA